rnacentral:lncRNA from 1 species
AUGUUCUGCCAAGGAAUAGAGGCCGUUACAUUCCGAAGACAAUUCACAGCAACAAAGUCUGGGCACAACAUUCCUGCUGAUGCCAAGAGUCUUGUGUCUGGAGCUUCCGCUGGAGAGAGAGACCCGGAACCUGGUGCUCCAACCAAAUGCUGUAGCUGGGACCAUCCAUCUUGGAGAAGCGGUCCAGGCCAACUGGAAAGUGUCCAGAGGUGCCACAGCCACGCUGAGUCCAAGGAAACAGUGCCGAGCAUCCAGAGUCACAGGGGCAGCAGCCAAGAAGAUGGUUCCCGAGGUUCACCUUUGCCUGGCCUCGUUUCCCACUGCGCCCUGGUUUGUGCCUUCUGCUCACACUGGAUGCUGCCUUGCCUUUCAGUUUCAGUGGAGACUUCCAUAGCAGCAGCAGCAGCAGCAGCAGCAGCAGUCACCCUGGUGUGUCAAACCCAGCCUCCAUCUUCCUGUGGCCACUGUCUUCAAAUCCAGGUUCAAGUACACCUGAGGGUCUACAGACUUUCAAGGGGGUAAAUGUUGAUGAAUGAUCUAAAGAGAAUCCGCUUCCAGAAUGUUAACUUCCAAGUACAGAUUUCUAAAACCAUUUCAUGAAAUUUCCCAUGUUCCCCUCACCCAUUGCAAUUUCACGUGGAGCUUUGCACUGGGAUCUAAAAAACCUCCUCAAGCCAGAAAAAAAAGGGGAGAUUGAGUAUUAGUUUCUGGGGAGCUUCUUUAAUGAUUCAUCAAGGCAUCUUUGCCCCUUAGGGCUUUCUGUCCUUCCCUGUCUUGUACGUAUUUCUGUUAAGCAUGGCCCACAUUGAGAUGCUCUAAAUUUAGAACAACUAAAGCAGGAUAGGUUAGAGGUGCUAAAUUUUUUACAUGAUUUCUUUCAGAUUC